rnacentral:rRNA from 1 species
UACGUAGGGUGCAAGCGUUGUCCGGAAUUAUUGGGCGUAAAGAGCUCGUAGGCGGUUCGUCGCGUCGGCUGUGAAAACCUGAGGCUCAACCUCAGGCCUGCAGUUGAUACGGGCGGACUUGAGUACUGCAGGGGAGACUGGAAUUCCUGGUGUAGCGGUGAAAUGCGUAGAUAUUGCUCGGAAGGCCAACGGCGAAGGCAGGUUACUGGUGCGCAACUGACACUGAGGCACGAAAGCGUGGGGAGCAAACAGG